GUGGGUGUGUUUCCAGUGGACCCACUCUGGGAGAAUAAAAGGAGUGAUACCAGAAAGAACAGGAGCAUCAGGAAGAGAGAAAUAACAGAGAGAUGAGAAACUUGAGGUCCAGUGAAGUGAAUGACUUGCGCGAGGCACUAAAGUCGAGAAGAGGAGGAAGAGAGCCGUGGGCCUAGAGCAGCUGCUCCUGCAGCCAGGGAGCAUUUCCUCCCACCAUCAACCUGUGAGUGCGGCGCUCUCCUGCCCUGGGGCCGACCCCACCCAAACAGCUGGAGGUUCCUAGGCAUGGAGCACCAGAGAUGGCAGGCAUCAACCCGUCAACCACUGCUGAAACCAAGACGGAAGCUCACGGGGAUCUGGAAAGACCGUCUUCAUGUGUCUGGAAGGUGAAGCAAUGAAAUUCCUGACAUCGCAACAAGGCUGUGUCCAUCCCUACAUUUUGUGUCCACAUCUGUCAUUUAAUAAAGCAACUACAUUCUCUUUUCAA